GACAGAGGUGCCGAGCGUUAGGCGGAAUCACUGGGCUUAAAGCGUGUGUAGGCGGACCGUUAAGUACCUUGUGAAAUCCCACGGCUCAACCGUGGAACGGCUGGGUAUACUGGCGGUCUUGGGCCACCUAGGGGUCAUCGGAACAGGCGGUGGAGCGGUGAAAUGCGUAGAUAUCGCCUGGAACGCCGACGGUGAAAACAGAUGACUGGGGGUGUGCCGACGCUGAGACACGAAAGCCAGGGGAGCGAACGGGG
rnacentral:rRNA from 1 species